GUGUUAGCAGCCGCGGUAAUACGUAGGGUGCGAGCGUUAAUCGGAAUUACUGGGCGUAAAGCGUGCGCAGGCGGUUUCGUAAGACAGAUGUGAAAUCCCCGGGCUUAACCUGGGAACUGCGUUUGUGACUGCGAGACUUUAGUGCGGCAGAGGGGGGUGGAAUUCCACGAGUAGCAGAGAAAUGGGGAGAGAUGUGGAGAAACACCGAUGGAGAAGGCAGCCCCCUGGGUCGACACUGACGCUCAUGCACGAAAGCGUGGGGAGCAAACAGGAGUAGAU
rnacentral:rRNA from 1 species